CAUAGGUUAAUGAGGCGAACCGGGGGAACUGAAACAUCUAAGUACCCCGAGGAAAAGAAAUCAACCGAGAUUCCCCCAGUAGCGGCGAGCGAACGGGGAGGAGCCCAGAGCCUGAAUCAGCAUGUGUGUUAGUGGAAGCGUCUGGAAAGGCGCGCGAUACAGGGUGACAGCCCCGUACACAAAAGCGCAUGUGCUGUGAGCUCGAUGAGUAGGGCGGGACACGUGGUAUCCUGUCUGAAUAUGGGGGGACCAUCCUCCAAGGCUAAAUACUCCUGACUGACCGAUAGUGAACCAGUACCGUGAGGGAAAGGCGAAAAGAACCCCGGCGAGGGGAGUGAAAAAGAACCUGAAACCGUGUACGU
rnacentral:rRNA from 1 species